AGACAGGGAGAGGCAGGGAGGUGGAUCCUUACAUCAGCAGGGCAAGAGAAGGACUGUGUGUAUGCUGGAAACAAAUUCACAGGAAAGCAGGCUUCAUGAGUCCACUGGCUUAUGGAUCCUACCAGAACUCUGCAAAACCUAUUUGCUGAAAAGUACGCCAAGAGAAAUCACUCAUGAGCCUCGCCAGCCUGCACGCCUCCCAAGCUGCUCUCCCUCCUGCUGCCUCUGCUCAUGCCAGGUGACAGCCCAGCUCAGGAAGAAGCUUCAUUCUUCCAACCCUUUCUCAGAAGAACUCCUGCCCACACCAGAGAAAACCUGGUUUCAGACCCUGGUAUCCUCAGGGUGGUUGUUCUCCUGUGAGGAACAGCUGGAUGUGACAACGCAGAUGCUGGAAGCUUCCUGAGUGGUGGUAAGUGGCCAUGAUGUUGUAGGGAAGUUAAGGCAGAAACUGAAUUUGUUGAAAAUCUGCCAGAAAUUACCUACAUGAAGAUUAUAACUACUUGAAAAAAAGAGAUGUGGAUGGAAAUGGCAGGUGUGUAGAAAUCUGGUGUUUCUCUUUGUGAUUUGCAAAGCAGCACCUGGAGACCAGCUGACAACAUGAAAAAGAUCCUUAGAUCUGGCUUGCCAGAAAAGGAGGCAGAAAUCAGCAACCUGAAUUAUGUGGGCUGCUCCGAAAGUAAUGCUUCCUAUUUAUUUCUAUAGAGACUACAACAGGUACAAAGACAACAAUAACAUUACUCAAUAGAGCAAAUUCUCAGCUGCAAAACACUCUUUUCCAACACUGUCAUCAACACUAGCUAUGGAUUUUCAUCAGCCGUGAACAAGAACCUGCAUGCUGCAGUCAUAAAAAUCUGCACCGGUGGAGGUAAGCCACUGUCAGUGUCACCACUGCUGAAACACACCACCCACCACCUCGCUGUGCUCACAUCCACUGUUUGGUCUCCAUAAGUAUUUCGGAAGUGUUGAUGAAUGUCAGUGGGUGCCGUUUUUUUUCCACAUGGAGGAAUGUAACUACACACCUUUGCUUCCGACACACUUCCAUGUCACAUGCCAUCCUGUCAGACUGCUUCUCUGCUGCCAUCUUGUCACGUGGCAACAACACGUAAUGGAACACUGUUGGGAAGGUUCAGCCUCAACUGCCAUACCACCAAUAUCCACCUCUGAUGCUGUGGGUCAACAAUAAAACAGGAGGCACUACCUUCGGAACAGCUCUUGUAUGUGAGGUCCAGCAGGUGCUGGCACCAGUAAAAAUAAUGGAAAUUUCAAAUAAAUAAGGUGAGCUGAGAAGGCCUCCUUAGAACACAUGUAAAAAAUUUCAUUAUCAUUAAACUUGGAAGCCAAGCACAGCUUUUCAUUUUCAACUCCCUGCAAGAUUGAUUUGACCUGUAUUUAGUGAGGGACUUCAGCCUUUUGUAGCCACCUGGAGCAGGGGACAGGCAAAGGCCAAGGCAUUUCCCUGUCCAGGUGGCCCUCAUAAAUAUCUCAGUGGAAUUUAUUUUCUUUCAUUUACUUUGGCAUUGCUUGGGCACUCCUUGAUUAAGGAGUGGUGUGUAGGAACUGACAUGCCCAGAGAUAGACAGCCACAUCUGCUAACCAUUUGGAUUAAUUAUUACACCUGUACCAUAAAACACAUGUUAAUAAAAGGCUGGUGAACAGGUUCAAGUUGCAGUUUUAAAAAGGGCCCAAAGAAAGCAAAAUGCAAGCCAUACACAAGAAGAGGCCAAACCUUUUGCUGAUAAGAUGCUGUAGGCUCCAACCACAUACAAGGAAGAGACAAUGUUAGAUACACUAAAUAUAUAUAUAUAUAUAUCACACAAGCAAACAAAAUAGGAACGUGUGUAUCCUGGCAAACUAUGCCUUUGUAGACCAUUGGCUAGAAGGUGAACAACAGUACACAUUCUUUCUUUCCUUCUUUCUUUUCUGUUAGAUGUAAAAGGAAAAAAAUCAUUAAUCACUCUGCAGGAUACAGCACUUAAAUGGGUAAAGUUGCUGAAGGGGUCUGGUUAGAAUCAGCCGAUUUUUCAUUUCCUUUCAGUGGGGACAGUGUGGUGCUCUGGAAUCUCUGGAGACCAGGAGCAUGAAUGCAGGUAUUGAAUUUUCAGGAGGAGACAAUUAAGGCCAAAUAUGUGAGAUACAAUCAUAUUUAAAUUAAUUCAGGUACUUCAACUGAAGACUUAAACCCUCUGCCUUCUUUGAGAUGCAUAUCUGGGAGAGCUUUACUGAGCUGGUAUUAAUCAUUCUAGGUUUGUAUCAGUUACAGUGGAAAGCAGUGGAGCUCUGUAUUUAUUAUUUAUUCUAUUGAACUGUCUAUGGAAAAACAUUUUGCUGAAUAAACUCUUCAAAUAGCCUUUGCUAUUCGAGAAGGCCUCCUUAGAACACAUGCAAAAAAUUAAUUAUCAUGAGGAAGCCAAGCACAGCUUUUCAUUUUCAACUCCCUGCAAGGAGCAAGGUGCCAAUUCUGUUUAGUGUUAGAUAACUUCUGACCACAUCAUGACUUGUAGAUGGACUGAAAAGGAAUAGGUAUCACAGGACAACGGUGAAGGCAAGUGUAGAUCUCACUUUGGACUGCAUCUGUAGUUGACCCUUAUCUGUUAUUUUUGGAGGCUCCUUUGGCAUAUUAGUACUCAACACAGCAAAUAUCACUAAGGAGGAGGUGCAUCAUGCUGCUCUGAUGACCAGUAUUGUUAGACAACCAUGCGUUGUUAAUGAAAUCUUUCUAAAUGAAGAAAGCCAGAAAAUGCUUCUCAAGCCUUCACAAAUAAGACUUGACUACAAACCCAUCACUUCAGUGCAUUUGGUCUUGACCUUUAAAUGUAGCAGUCACAUGAUCCAGGAGAAAGCUGAGGUCUCUAUUCUGCCACCAAACCCUGCCAAAGCUGUGGGUUCAGCUGAAGAGCUACUGCAUGCUUGGUGGAUUGACCGUGGUUACAAAUACCACUUGCAGGUAAGGCUUUCCAUUCACUGAUCUCUAUUUAGCCCAUGUCUUCCUGAGAGGAUGGACUCAGAAACAGUAUGGCUGCUGGGUUACCUGUAAUCAUUUAAUUUUAGACAUCAUUAUUUUAUGUUUUGAAGAUAGCAUAGAUUUCUGCAUCAGAUACACCACCUUAUCACUACCAGGCUAAAUAUGAACCCAAAAGAUUGGCAGAUCAGCCAGGCAGAAGAAGCUUUCUUCCAAGGAAUGCUAUUCAGCUUCACAAGGAAGAUGGGGCUUUCACAUCAUCACAGCUCCUGCUCCAGACUCUGCUAAAUGAGCUGCAGUCAAGGACAGUUUAUAAGACAUAGUAAGUCUUGCUAUGGGAUGGACGAGCUAAAGCAGUUUGCCCAGCCACAGCAUGAAGAAUACACUUUCAAGGCUAUAUUUCAUGAAACGGGACCAAAAAAAGAUGAAGUUAAAUGUCUGUCUCACUUGCCUAAAGAAAUAUCUUAUGGAAACGUGACAGCCUCCUAGGAAUGGGAUUACAGCAGUAUGGAAUAUACAGUGAUACAAUUUUAAGAGAUAGCCCACAGUAAAUCUGAGAAAGUUAUUCAUUCUUAUACAUCUGCUUUACUGUUUGAAAGUUACUUCCUCCUUCAAUCCCAGUCUAAGACUUUGUACUCUCUACCUGCACAUGUUCAGUUUGUUCUGUGCACAACAGAGAAACGCAAAGAAUUUCCAAAAAUAAGGUUGUAGUUAAUGCCAGGUCAUAUGUACUAAAGCCCUAACAGAGGAUAGCACUGCUUUCCUAUUAUUACCAUUUUUUAAUGGUCUAAUUUUUCCCAGUGGAUACCAGUACAUGCAGAGGUUGUAGCAGAUGAAAAAAAAAAAGAAAAA
ensembl:lncRNA